rnacentral:tRNA from 1 species
UAGCUCAGCUGGUAAAGCAAAGG